GACAGAGGGGGCAAGCGUUGCUCGGAAUUACUGGGCGGAAAGGGCGCGUAGGCGGGAUGGCAAGUCAGUCGUGAAAUCUCUCGGCUCAACCGAGAAACGUCGGCUGAUACUGCCGUUCUUGAGGGAUGCAGAGGAGACUGGAAUUCCCGGUGUAGCGGUGAAAUGUGUAGAGAUCGGGAGGAACACCGGUGGCGAAGGCGGGUCUCUGGGCAUCUCCUGACGCUGAGGCGCGAAAGCGUGGGGAGCAAACGGG
rnacentral:rRNA from 1 species